AAGAAAUUAAUUUUCUAGAAGUAAAAGAAUCCUACAGGGUUUUGAAAAAUAAACUGGUCUUCUAGAAGGAAAUUUGCACUCAUUUGGGAUUGGGUUUUACCCAAAAAUGUGUGGAAAUUUGGAGAGGAAUAAAUCCAAUUCGUUUUGGGACAAGGAUUUUACACCCUAAAACUUGGCUAUAAAUAGGACCCUCCUCUUCCUUAAAAAACACCCUUUCUGAGAAGCAGUACUUUCCCACACAAGUCUUCUACACUCGGAGAUUUUUUAGGCUAUAUCAAAAGAUCACAUACCCGGAGAAAGCCUUGGAUGAUUUGUGUAAUAGCUUCAAGAGGGACACCCGGGAUAGUGUUCCACUAGAGUAGAUGAGAAGUGGAUCAAAGCAAACUGCUCUCAGUGCUGGUGCAAAUAUCAUAAGCUUUUUCGUGGAAAUUAAUUUGGAUUCCUGAGUUGUCUUUAAGUAGAACUAAGGAUGGCAAUGUGUAGUAUUCACAUUAUCUUUGAAGAUAUUUUAUAUGAUAUGUACUCGGCCUACUACAAUAAUAAUAACAUUAAUUAUUAUGCGUCAA